UACGAAGGGGGCUAGCGUUGCUCGGAAUCACUGGGCGUAAAGGGUGCGUAGGCGGGUCUUUAAGUCAGGGGUGAAAUCCCGGAGCUUAACUUCGGAACUGCCUUUGAUACUGGGUGUCUUGAGUGUGAGAGAGGUAUGUGGAACUCCGAGUGUAGAGGUGAAAUUCGUAGAUAUUGGGAAGAACACCGGUGGCGAAGGCGGCUCACUGGCUCAUUACUGACGCUCAGGCGCGAUAGCGUGGGGAUCAAACAGG
rnacentral:rRNA from 1 species